AACGAACGCUGGCGGCAUGCCUAACACAUGCAAGUCGAACGAAGCCUUCGGGCUUAGUGGCGCACGGGUGCGUAACGCGUGGGAAUCUGCCCCUUGCUUCGGAAUAACAGUUAGAAAUGACUGCUAAUACCGGAUGAAGUCUUCGGACCAAAGAUUUAUCGGCAAGGGAUGAGCCCGCGUAGGAUUAGGUAGUUGGUGGGGUAAAGGCCUACCAAGCCGACGAUCCUUAGCUGGUCUGAGAGGAUGAUCAGCCACACUGGGACUGAGACACGGCCCAGACUCCUACGGGAGGCAGCAGUGGGGAAUAUUGGACAAUGGACGCAAGUCUGAUCCAGCAAUGCCGCGUGAGUGAUGAAGGCCUUAGGGUUGUAAAGCUCCUUUACCAGGGAUGAUAAUGACAGUACCUGGAGAAUAAGCUCCGGCUAACUCCGUG
rnacentral:rRNA from 1 species